rnacentral:rRNA from 1 species
AGAAUCAACGCUGGCGGCGUGCCUAACACAUGCAAGUCGAACGAGAAAGUGGAGCAAUCCAUGAGUAAAGUGGCGACCGGGUGAGUAACACGUGACUAACCUACCUUCGAGUGGGGGAUAACCUCGGGAAACCGGGGCUAAUACCGCAUAAAAUCUUUGGAUCGGAAGAACUGGAGAUCAAUGGAGCAAUUCGCUUGAAGAGGGGGUCGCGGCUGAUUAGCUAGUUGGCGGGGUAAUGGCCCACCAAGGCUUUGAUCGGUAGCCGGCCUGAGAGGGCGCACGGCCACACUGGAACUGAAACACGGUCCAGACUCCUACGGAGGCAGCAGUGGGGAAUUUUGCGCAAUGGGGAACCCUGACGCAGCAACGCCGCGUGGAGGAUGAAGUCCCGUUGGGACGUAAACUCCUUUCGACCGGGACGAUUAUGACGGUACCGGUGGAAGAGCCCGGCUAACUUCGCGCCAGCAGCCGC